UAAAUUUUGGAGAGUCCUAUUUGAAACAAAGAGGGAGUUUUGGGGGAGAGAAAAGUUGGUUGGUUCCAGGGCAGCCGCCCAAAGAAGCAGGGAACAAGAUGUUUGCAGUUACCACGCCGCCUGCGAGCCUCUGCCGGGUGCAGGCAAGGAGCAAAGUAACUUGAAAGCUCCCCUCUCGGCGCCCUGUGCCUGCAGCUUCCCCCCCUAACGCGCGCCCAGAUCCAGCGCCGAUGGUAAGAGCCGAAGCUCGACUACAGUAAUUCCCCAGCUCGGGCGACUUGAAACUGCUCGGGCUGAAUAGCAUUUGCUGUUCCGUCCUGCGGCAGCCUCCCGCCGCCGCCGCCGCGCUCCCUGCAAAGCAGCUCUCAUUAUCCCGGAAGUUGUGCUGACACAGUCUCGCUGCCACCAGAAGUUUGUCAACAUCAAACUUCUCCUGUGUGGGGGCUAGGACCCACCGUGUUCAAACCCAGGACCUCAGAACACGGUGUAACACUGCAUGGCCGUCCUGCAAUGCCAGAUUAUACGUGGGCGACUGAAGGACCUCGUGUCUCAACAGUGGGCAGCGCAAAUCGUGGCUCUUUGCACUGGAGAUGUAGCCACCAAGGACACAGCAGUAUUGUUCCCCGGCUUCCAAAAUAAACUUGAGUGGAAAUGAA